rnacentral:misc_RNA from 1 species
AGCAGCCGCGGUAAUUCCAGCUCCAAUAGCGUAUAUUAAAGUUGUUGCAGUUAUAAAGCUCGUAGUUGAAUUUCGGGGUUAGUAGGUUGGUCAUGCCUCUGGUAUGUACUGGUCUCACUGAUUCCUCCUUCCUGAUGAACCUUAAUGCCAUUAAUUUGGUGUUUUGGGGAAUUUGGACUGUUACUUUGAAAAAUUAGAGUGUUUAAAGCAAGCUAACGCUUGAAUACAUUAGCAUGGAAUAAUGAAAUAGGACGUUCGAUCCUAUUUUGUUGGUUUCUAGGAUUGACGUAAUGAUUAAUAGGGAUAGUUAGGGGCAUUAGUAUUCAAUUGUCAGAGGUGAAAUUCUUGGAUUUAUUGAAGACUAACUACUGCGAAAGCAUUUGCCAAGGAUGUUUCCAUUAAUCAAGAACGAAAGUUAGGGAUCGAAGACGAUCAGAUACCGUCGUAGUCUUAACCAUAAACUAUGCCGACUAGGGAUCGGAUGAUGUUAAUUUUUUAAUGUACUCAUUCGGCGCCUUAA